rnacentral:rRNA from 1 species
UACGUAGGGUGCGAGCGUUGUCCGGAAUUAUUGGGCGUAAAGAGCUCGUAGGCGGUUCGACAAGUCGGGUGUGAAAACUCCGGGCUCAACCCGGAGACGCCACCCGAUACUGUCGUGACUGGAGUCCGGUAGGGGAGUGGGGAAUUCCUGGUGUAGCGGUGAAAUGCGCAGAUAUCAGGAGGAACACCGGUGGCGAAGGCGCCACUCUGGGCCGGUACUGACGCUGAGGAGCGAAAGCGUGGGUAGCAAACAGG